CUCCGUGCCAGCAGCCGCGGUAAUACGGAGGAUGCGAGCGUUAUCCGGAUUUAUUGGGUUUAAAGGGUGCGUAGGUGGGCUGUUAAGUCAGCGGUGAAAGUUUGUCGCUUAACGAUAAAAUUGCCGUUGAAACUGGUAGUCUUGAGUAUAGAUGAAGUAGGCGGAAUGCGUGGUGUAGCGGUGAAAUGCAUAGAGAUCACGCAGAACUCCGAUUGCGAAGGCAGCUUACUAAGGUAUAACUGACACUGAAGCACGAAAGCGUGGGUAUCAAACAGGAUUAGAUACCCUGGUAGUCCACGCAGUAAACGAUGAUUACUAGGAGUUUGCGAUAUAGUGUAAGCUCUACAGCGAAAGCGUUAAGUAAUCCACCUGGGGAGUACGCCGGCAACGGUGAAACUCAAAGGAAUUGACGGGGGCCCGCACAAG
rnacentral:rRNA from 1 species